rnacentral:lncRNA from 1 species
UCCUCCAAUCCUCCCUCGCUCUCCAUCUCGCUACUAUCUAGAUCUACUCUAGUUUAGAGAAGAGAGGAGAGCUCUCAUCUCCAAACCCUAGCUUUUGCUCUAUCUACGAAUAAUGAAUAGGGAUCAAGGGGUGUCUCCUCUAGGGGCCAGGGGGUCUGCUUAUAUAGUCCCCUCAAGUGAAUCUGGGCCGUCGGAUCAAAUCAACAUUGAUUGAACGGUUAUUCUUGAUCCUUUAGGUCGGUGGAGCAUAAUCCGCGAAGAUGAACGUGAUUGGCCGAAAUAGGUGGGCGGGCGCCCUAAGGACUUGGGGCGGGCGCCCUGUCCCUGAGCCCUCUCGGCUUCCGCUUUGUUCCCGUGGCUUCUGGAGUCUUCUAGAUGAUAGAAAAUUGCGCGGCACGUUAAUAUCUCCAUGUAAACCUGACGUGUGGGCCUAUCCUCCAUAUUUCCUGAUAACCCCCUGUAGAAAUAGACAAACACCAAAACUCGUGGAAUUCUGUCAGAUAAAACCCUAAGUCUGGGUGUUGGUUGCAUUUGGAUCCUUUUCUUUAUUUAUUUGAUGAUUAUAUUUGGUACUUAAGGACCGUCAACAACUCCCCCAAGCUUACCUCUUGCUCGUCCCUUAGCAAGGAUGGACUCAAGAGUUUCUGCAGUGGUUUUAUGCCUUAAAGGUACACAUGCGUUCAAACAAGAUCUCAUUUCUAGGUUAGGGUAAAUUAUUAAGAUUUAAAACUUACUCAUAUUACCUUUCACCAUGGGGCUUGCAACCGUCACUUAUGUCUUGAGUAGUUAAAAGAUAGAACGGUCAAGUCAAGCACCAUGUCUCUUGUUCUUUGAUCAACUAUAGCUCUGGAGUUUUUGUAGAUUUUCAAAUAAAACUCAGACAUUCCUUGUAUGACUCUCUCAAAUCUCUCUUUUGUGGUAUUUCUGGAUCCUUACCAAGGCAGUGAUGAUAUAUGCCUUCUCUCAAAGUAUGUGGUAUUUGUGGUAUGAGGCAUAGUAACAUUGCCUUCUCUCUCACCCUACUCUAAUAAGGUUUUGAUAUCUGGAGCUCAUAGGUGGGAGACAGCUAAUACAUACUUACAAGACAUUUAUUGCAUAGUCAAACUAUGGAUCCAGAGAAACAAGUCAAUAAGUCAAAUCAAGAUGUGCAUGUUUAUCGAAAGAAUGGUGUAUGGUGAUGAUAGUGAUAAUCGUGAAAACAAUGGUGAAAGUCUAAUUCUACUUUUGCUCUUUUGAGGGGAUACAUACCUUUCUUGCACUUUGAUGCUUUUUGAGGGGGAACGAGAUGCUCUAUAUUUUCUUUUUCUUUUCUCUCAGGUGGGUAUCUUGUACCCCUAAUUCUACUGUCGGACACUUGUCCAUUUUUACCUCUCGUCUCACUUUUUUUCUUUUUUUUCGAGGUUUCGGGCACUUGCCCCUUUUUAUUUCCUUGUAUUUUUUUCAGAGCACUCACCCUCCUGGAAUAAUGUAGCAAGUGGUAGUAACCAAAAUAUCUCGAGCAUUUAUUUCUCAGGGAAUAACAGGAAUUGGAUAAUGUUUUUGGCUAUUCUCUCCUGGAUAGGAGUAGAAUAAUUUUGGGUGAAUCUGAAGAUGGAAAGGAGAGGAUGUAUGUGGAUGCGUACUUCCGGAGUAGAAGCAGCAUGUAUGAGUGAACGUGCAAGUGAAUCUUGAUUUUAACCACAUAACAAGCUCCUAAGGGUCUACACAGCUUGACCACACUCAAUGCUCAUAAGCAGUAAAAAGUAAAUGUAUGGUUCAAAGUCUAAUAAGUAUGUAUAUAUGGCUGUGGUAGGAUUUUAAACUCUUAUCAUACAGGAACUCAUCAUGCAAUAUUUUAAAGAUUUUCAAAGAAAAAAUUCUCCAGAAUUCUAGCAUCUCUAGGAACAGAUAAACAGCAGCUCAACCAUCCCAUAUCAUAUCCGUUAACGACUUAGACUUUAGAUCAAGUACUCUUCCCACAAGUUCAGGUUUAGAGAAAAUCUUAAUUCAUAACAAUCAUGCCUAAACUUGAGAGAGAUUUCAAUUUUGAGAACUAGUCAUGGUAGAGCAACUAUUCAUUAUUUCCAUGUGAGAGCUUAUCAUGAGGGUUCAUAGCAAACUUUAUUUAUUUAUUUAUUUAGCAAACUAAGCAAAGAUAUAUAAGCACAAAAAUUUUUAUUUGUGUUUUCAUGAUUAUGCAUCUUUUUAUUAUUUGAGUAAGUAUAAACAUGCGUAGAAACACUUAGCUGGAUAAAUGGGGGUGCUCUCCCUCAAGCUGGAUUUUGACGUAAUUUCUUCUGAUGUAGCUAGCAGGUGGCGGAGGUGUAUUUGAAUGUCGGCAGCACCCUGACAGCGAUUAGGAUGUCCUCCGUCUGCUAGUCUUCUUUGAUCUUUGAAUUCUGUGGAGCUCAAAUAGACAACAAAGCUUUGUGGAACUAGUUAAGUGUUAGCAUAAAUAUCUAGCCUUUAUCAUAUUGAGCUUCCUGUAAUAGAUAUUACUCUCUUUGGUAGGAUCAUAAAUUUAUUUCUAUAUUUUCAUUUCUAUAGGAUAGGAAUAUAUUUAUUUUAUUUUUACGCCACCACAGUGAAUGUACUUAUGGGUUUUAUGCCACGAGCAUACUCACAUGGGGCUUACUAUUUUUAACAUUUUUAUUUUCUUUUUAAGAUAGCAUGAUUAACUAAUAAGCCAUUUAAGGAAAGUAAGUAAUUAAAGGGAAAAGGGAAUGUAGAAAGGAUAAAUAUGGAUAAUUACCGAUUUUACCUUUCGGCGACGGUUCAAUGUUUUAAGUCUUCUGAACAAGGCUUCUCACCGUGUUCAUUCUUCAGGUGCGUCAUUUGAUUCAGGUGCGGACCUUGACGUCUGCACCUCUUGAUACGGUGUCACCCAUGUUCUUCGUUUGCCCAGCAGUUCGAAGUGUAACGUUGGCAGCAUCUUUCUCAGUGUGUUUGUGCUCGUAGAUCCAGGUCCUUCACUUGGUGGAGUCUGGGAGUUGAAAAAUCCUCCAUGUUUCUCAAAAUGUGUCCUGCUCAUAGAGACAAGGCAGAGAUCAAGUGCAUGGGUCCUGUUGGUGGAAAACACCAACAGAACCAAGAGUAUAUUUAUUCUUCUCUAUCCUUAAGCAUCAUGAGCAAGACAAAGUUGAUGGAUGAUAAGUUCAUGAGUGUAGCACUUAUAACAUUUGUUAGAUCAGAUCACUCAACCUUAUGGAAAUAUAAUCUAUCUAUGUAUUUGUCUUUUUCUUUAUAUCUCUCAAAGAUUGAAUGUGUAACAUUUUAGCUCAUAUGAUUAGGAGUGUGGGAUCAUGGAGGUAGUACUAGGAACAAAGAUUAAAGGACUAAACAUGCUGAAUCAGUUGGG